UCUCUGGUUGAGCACAACAGUACUUCACAUCUACUUUUCACACGUGCAGAAGAUCCCAGGCUAAGGAUUUAUUUUCCUGCAGUGGCACCUCUUAAAGGCUACUGAAAUGAAUGUGCAGGUUUGACUCUUUCUUGUGGGGUGAAAGAGAAACAGAUUGACUAAGAAGGGAAAAAAGGAAUGAAGAACCAAACGGAACUUGUUUUGAAAAAAAUCUGGAUGUUGCAGAUGACAUGAACUCAGAAGAAUCUAUCAAUCAUCAAAGAAAGCAACAUAAUGAGAGAGAACAGCAGCUUCCUGAGAAGUGAAGGCAGAGUGCUUGACCCUCAUGAGACAAACCAGAAGGAAGAGCAAAUGUUUGGAACCAAAAGUCAGACAGAUUCAAGUUCACCAAGAAUUCAUCAAGAAAAGGAGAAGUAGGAACGACUUCUGAACACCAUUGUGCUCAGAGAGCAGAUUUCUUACUCUUUGGUAAUUUGUUUGUACCACAGGCUUUCAAAAUUAGGGUGUUUUCCACGCCUUUCUUUUGCAUCACUGUCUUGAACUGACCCCAUUUCUGUUUUGGGGACUGUUACUCCACAGAUGUCGAAUGGGUACUACUGACCGUAUGUGUGCUCUCUGUGUCACUGUGUAAUACAUUACUUGCCACAGAACUCACAAGGCAAUGCCUUCACUAAUCAGCAGCUAAUUGCCAGGAAUGCACUUUGAAACUUGUUUAAAUUCAAACAAAAAAAUAUCUGUAUGUUUUCAGAGGAAAAAAUUUCAUGAGAGGAAACCACUCUGAGGCUCUUUAGAUAUGUAUGGAGAUACUGCUCCAGUAACCCUGUGGAGGCUUGAACCCAAAUUGUCGUGCAGGCUCAGAGAUGCAAAGACUUGCUAAAUAAAUCAGAGGCUGGAUUUAUCUGCUCAGUCUUGGAAUUCAUAAUUUUACACAGCUCUGCUUCCAACAUCCAUUUCCAAUCUCUGGAAUGAUUGAUUUGUCUUAGUUCUGGUCCCAACAGGAUUUUUCAUGGAGGAAGCAUAUUUCCCAACAGUAAACACAACUUCAGGCAUAUAUAAAAUGAAGCACCUGUCUCUGAAGAGCAUGAGAGAACUCCCAUCACUGCUAUAGGAUAGAAAGAAAACAGUUGGCCCAAAUAAAAAGCCCAUACAAGUCCCCAUAAAAAUGAGCAUUCCUAUUCCAGUGUGCGUGCAAUGUCCAACCACACCACACCAAUGAGGACAACAUAAGUAAAAUGGUAGCAGGUACCAUAGGUGCCACUCACAGAAGAAAAUCCAGUAGGAAUAUUGAAUGUUUUUUUUGAAACAGUAUCAAGGCAACCGCUGGUUGCAAUCGUAGUUAUGGCUUUGGGUAUUGUAGAGCUGUGGUUCACCAAAGUGGCCCAUGGCUUGCUGACAUUUUGGGUACUUCUUUCUUCAGAGGCCCUGUUCUUCUGCAGUAGCACAAAACGGAGUUCUGCAUUCAGGCUGUAACUUCUGGUUUAGGGAGUUGUGAAUGGAAAGCUGUGUGUUGAAUAUGACA